UUUCCGUAGGUGAACCUGCGGAAAGGAUC
rnacentral:rRNA from 4 species